AGCAAACGCUGGCGGCGUGCCUAAUACAUGCAAGUCGAACGGGGAAAGUAGCAAUACGAGUACUAGUGGCGCACGGGUGAGGAAUACAUGGGUAAUCUGCCCUCGAGCUCGGGAUAACCAGUCGAAAGACUGGCUAAUACCGGAUAUGACCACAAGAUCUGAGGAUCAAGGGGUAAAAGGUUUUUCGCUUGAGGAUGAGCCCAUGUGGGAUUAGCUAGUUGGUGUAGGUAACGGCUCACCAAGGCGACGAUCCCUAACUGGUCUUAGAGGAUGAUCAGUCACACUGGAACUGAGACACGGUCCAGACUCCUACGGGAGGCAGCAGUAGGGAAUAUUGCACAAUGGAGGAAACUCUGAUGCAGCGACGCCGCGUGAGUGAUGAAGGCCUUCGGGUCGUAAAGCUCUGUCGUAUGGGACUAACAAAAUGAAGGUACCAUGCAAGAAAGGAAUCGGCUAACUUCGUGCCAGCAGCCGCGGUAA
rnacentral:rRNA from 1 species